UUCAACUAGAGACCGACCGAUUUAUCAGUUGACAGAUAUUAUCGGCCGAUAUUAACCUUUUACCGAUGUAUUUGUAUCGGCGUUUAACCCACCGAGAAGGACCGAUAUAAGAUGUGGAGAAAACGCUCUGAAAAAAAGCAGUUUUUCAUAGAAUCGGACAUUUUUGUUGUUGCAUUUCAUUAUGUGUCCUGAAGAGGGCACUUGGUGCGCUACAGCAAGACUGGACACUACCACCCAACGCACCUACACCAGUCAGAGAGGAGAGUGAGCUACUGCUUCUACGGCUGCUGUGGUGUGGGUGUCUUUCUAACAGCUUCCAGCAACAAAUGCAAGCUGCGCUUAUGCAACUCCAACCGAGUCAGUAAACGAUUUGACAAUUGGCAUACACAAAGAUGAGUUCAGAUGAGACAGCAAUGACCAGCCCAAGGAAAAUCAGCAAGGAAAUGGUGA